AGCAAAGAGCUAGAAUCACAUACUUGUAGAAAACCCAAUAUCGACCAGCUCAUAGUCGAAUGAAGAGAAAUUGCCAUCGAGGUAAGAGAUAGGCUCCUUUAGGUUUGGACAGAACAUGGGCACCAUGUGAAGGGACCUGAGUGGGACUUGCCAUUCACGAUUCGGAAGCCUAUCAUACUUUGUAAUAAAAUGCCAAGACUCCAGUCGUAAUCCUCAAAGGUACUUGGCAAAAGAAUUCCUAGAGUUGAAAGGCCAACAAUGUUCACAUUGUUUCUGCUGCCUAAGAUCCCUUAAGUUGUCCGUCAGAUACGUAGGAACAUAUGUCAUUGCUCCUUGAUCCCUGAGGUAAUAAUGAAACACCCUUCUGAAGGAAAUAUCUCGAGGAAUGGCCAAAUUCCCAUUAUGAUCGAUAAAGGUGUAAACAUCAAUCUCAUCAUGAAUUUCCUCCAACUUCAAACAAUAAAGAUAACAAAAGGGUAUAUACCUUUUCCAUUCAACUUUAGAAGUUGAGAACAAGAAGCUUGCCUUUAAAUCUUCAUUAAGCUUGUUAAUUGUUUCACAUAACAUUGCUUAGUAAUAGAACUUCUUAAAUAUUUAUUUUCAAUAUUCUCAAAAAAAUUAUUCCAUUAAUUCAAAAAACUAAAAAAAAAUUAUUUCAAUGCUUUUUAUGUUUCCAUUCUAUAUAUGUUUCAUGACUAUAACACUUAUCAUUAAACAUUACAUAACAAAUGGUUAGUAAUUAAGGAUCAUAUUCUUUUCAUUUUAUUAUCAAAACAAUAUAUAUAGUCAUUCAAAACUAAUUUUCAAACCAUUUCGACCUUACUUUUGGUGGUAGAUGAUAACGAAGUCGCCAAUAAUUCAUAUGUAUAAACUACUUUAAUGCAUCAUUUAAUAACUAUGAACAUAUAAAUUAUAAUGAAUUUCCUUACCCUUUUACUUUCACCGAAACUUAAGAGAUCAAACAAGGUUCCAUCAUCUCCUUCAAGCUCUCUUUCUAGUAAACCAAGGCUACUCAAACUUUUCUCACCACUGAAUUAUAACUAAUAAAAUGGCCUCUCACCUUGGUUAGAUUUUUCACUAUCAAUUUUAUCAAAUUUCCCCUCUAAUUGGCUAUGGUGAUACACUGUUUGAGGAUGAAGGCCAAGAAAAUCCUCUUUCUCUUUACUUAGUUUUUUGCUUGAACGCCGAAAACAUAGAAGAAUGGAAAAGCUUCUCACCUUUUUUUCUAUUUA
rnacentral:lncRNA from 1 species